UACGGAGGGGGUUAGCGUUGUUCGGAAUUACUGGGCGUAAAGCGUACGUAGGCGGGCUAGCAAGUUGGGGGUGAAAUCCCGGGGCUCAACCCCGGAACGGCCUCCAAAACUGUUAGUCUUGAGUUCGAGAGAGGUGAGUGGAACUCCGAGUGUAGAGGUGAAAUUCGUAGAUAUUCGGAAGAACACCAGUGGCGAAGGCGGCUCACUGGCUCGAUACUGACGCUGAGGUACGAAAGUGUGGGGAGCAAAC
rnacentral:rRNA from 1 species